GCUGUUCCCCUCUCUGCAGGGUCAUGUGGCCUGGCCUGCCGGCCCUCCGUCCCCGCUCCAGGACUAACCUCUGUGGAGGGAAUCACCUAACUCGAGGGAUCACGACUCCUGAGCAGUGAAGUCGCAUGAGGCCCCACAGACCCCGGGAUUGGAGGCCCAAGGACCUGCCAGUGUGCGGGGCUGGCCUCUGCAGACAGUGAAAAGCUCCCGUGGCCACGCUUGGCAGAUGCUGGGAAGUGAAGAGACAGCCAAAUGGCCAAAUUCCCCUGGAAAUUUCUCCUGGUGUCUGGCACCCUGGGAUUUUGCCUGGCUGGGUUUGUGGGCGGCUGCCAGAGGCACUGCAGAAGCUGUCAGGCUGGGCUUCCAGGGACAAAGGUGGAAGCGCCCCCACCAGAGAAGAGUGUGGGUGUCAGGCAUGGCCUGGGCUGAGACCCCGCUGUCACUUCCUGUCUGUGAUCUUGAUCAAGCUCACCCCCUGCCCUGAGCCGGCUGGUUUGUUCAUCAGUACAACAGGGUUAAUAAAUAGCACUGCCUACCCGCUGGGUGCUGUAAACAUCCUGUGGAAAGAUGGACUUUUGAAAACAUCGCGUGUCACUGUGAGGAGCUGCCGGGGUUGGAAGAGGAGUGGCUAGAUGUUCCUUGAGGCUCCCUGCUGCGCUGGGCUGCAGGUAAGGCCUGAAGCUAAAGCCCAUUCCUCCUGGGGCGCUGGCCAUGGUACCUCUCAUCCUACCCCUAACCACUCCACCUGAACACGGGGAGCAACUCCCUCCCAGGCUGGCUCUGCCCUCUGUGCACUGCUCCUACCCCUAACCACUCCACCUGAACACGGGGAGCAACUCCCUCCCAGGCUGGCUCUG
rnacentral:lncRNA from 1 species